CAAUAGCGUAUAUUAAAGUUGUUGCGGUUAAAAAGCUCGUAGUUGGAGUUCUGCCAGGUGCCGCCUGUCCGCCCCAGUGGUGAGUACGUGGCGCGCAUUUGGCCCUUUCAAGGGGAGCGUAUCUGCACUUUAUUGUGUGGUGCGGGAUCCUUGACUUUUACUUUGAGGAAAUAGGAGUGUUCCAAGCAGGCUCUCGUCGUGCACAGCUCAGCAUGGAAUAAUAGCAUUGGACCUCGAUUCUAAGCUGUUGGUUGCCAGAAGCGAGGUAAUGAUGAAGAGGGAUAGUUGGGGGCAUUCGUAUUUAACUGUCAGAGGUGAAAUUCUUGGAUUUGUUAAAGAUGGACUACUGCGAAAGCAUCUGCCAUGGAUGUUUUCAUUGA
rnacentral:rRNA from 1 species